ensembl:lncRNA
GGCCCAGUGCGGGGUUCCAUGGCCGGCCGGGGCUGCAGCCGGUCGGGGAACCCGGCUCGAGCCCAGGUUCCGGCGGUGCUGUCCGGAAGGGCGACGCGCUCGGCCGGCCUGCCGGCCUCCCCAGCCUGCUGCGCCGCUCGCCCGAUCGCGCCAGCAAAGCCCGGGCGAGCGCGCCCGGCCCGACGCCGAGACCCGGGCCCUGCGGGAAGGACCGGGGCUCGCCGAGGCCGGGCUCCGGGGCAGCGCCGGUUCUCCGCUCCGAGGCCAGGCCCGCCCCGGCGCCCUGACUCCGCGCAGCCCCUCUGGCGCGCAGGCGGUCGCCGCAGCCCCGCUCCCUGCGCGAGUGAACGGAGGCGCCGAGCUAGGGGCUGGCGUCCACCCCUCGCCUCCCCGGGGCUCCCCAGGGCGCCCUUCUAGGAGAGAGAGCCAACGAAGAGUGGUGGUGUAAAAUUCAAAGCGAAAACACAAUUUACAGUGUUACAGCUUCACGAACAUUACUUUAAAAUACAGGGUAAUUGUAGAGGAUGUGAGUAUUUACUUGUAGAACAGUACCGGGAUGAGGGGAGUUGCUCUCCGAUUGGACCUGCGCGUAAGGAGCGUGAACUCACCUUUUUCAUAGUCAGUGUUUGGUACAAUGCCCAGACCCUACCAGCUACUCAGGAGGUACUUCUAGAAAGAAUAAGGACUCCAGGCCAGGCCAGUGGAAGCACAGACAGCUGUUUGUCUAGAUGUGUGGACUGGGGUCACCUGUUCUGAAAUCCACUUGCGAAGUGUUCCGGGUUGCAGCCCUCCGCCUGCUCACCCUGGACAACCCACUCCUCUCCACGUUCUGCUUAUUGAAAGCCACUGCAUAUUGGUGAAUCCCUGUUAUACAUUCCUUCUUGUAACAGCAGGUUUGCAUUUCAUUGGAACCCAGAGAGAAAGAGAGCAAAAUCAUAGUCUUAAUCUUUCAGAUUAAACCAAAGGCAUUGAAUUUCAUUAAAGAAUUAGGUUAAUAACUAGCAAAGUGACUAAAUUAAAUAUGUUCAUGAUCUUUUUUUUUCUUUAUUGUGCAAAUGAUAGAUGUAAAUUUUCUCUACUUUUGUGGAUGAAUUUUACAGUGCCUGAUAACCCCAAGCUGAAAAAAAGAAGAAAGGAGGAGGAAUUCCAAAGGAGCUUGCUUUCACCAGAGGAAAUGCAUUCCGAAUCUGACUAACGUGGGUAUGGACCAAAUUUCUGUGAUAUUAGUCUGUGAAAACAGAAGUCUACUUCGAGAAAGAGAGAUGUUCAACUUGGCUCAAUUCAGAUCUUAUCUCUGUUGGUGCAACUUGCUCAUUCCCGUGAAACUUUGGCACACUUAGACGAGUCAAAAAUCUGCAUGAUUGAUCUGCUAACACAUCUGCACCAGCAACCUCAAACAUAAACGUGAAGGAUGUCAUGAGGAUGUGCUCUUAACUUCUUGGAAGAAAUGAGUUAGACAGAUGAGUGCAUAUAUGGAAAGCAUACAGGCAUUUGGCUCUGAUGUAAGGGAAUUGGUCAACCACUGCCUAGGGCAGUUUAAGCCAGUUCAAAAGUUCCUCCUCCUCUGUGUAUUUUCAUUCUACAGUAAAUAAAAUACUUUGUUUUAUAGUUUUGUUGAUCU